AACGUAGGACGCAAGCGUUGUCCGGAUUUAUUGGGCGUAAAGAGCUCGUAGGUGGCUCGGUAAGUCGGGUGUGAAAUUUCGAGGCUCAACCUCGAGACGCCACCUGAUACUGCUGUGGCUAGAGUCCGGUAGGGGAGCGUGGAAUUCCUGGUGUAGCGGUGAAAUGCGCAGAUAUCAGGAGGAACACCAGCGGCGAAGGCGGCGCUCUGGGCCGGUACUGACACUGAGGAGCGAAAGCGUGGGGAUCAAACAGG
rnacentral:rRNA from 1 species